UACGUAGGUGGCAAGCGUUGUCCGGAAUUAUUGGGCGUAAAGCGCGCGCAGGCGGUUCUUUAAGUCUGAUGUGAAAGCCCACGGCUCAACCGUGGAGGGUCAUUGGAAACUGGAGAACUUGAGUACAGAAGAGGAAAGCGGAAUUCCACGUGUAGCGGUGAAAUGCGUAGAGAUGUGGAGGAACACCAGUGGCGAAGGCGACACGCUGGGCCGUACCUGACACUGAUGCGCGACAGCAUGGGGAGCAAACAGG
rnacentral:rRNA from 1 species